GAGGGUAUAACUCAGUGGUUUAGAGCACAUGCUUAGCAUCCUGGGUUCAAUCCCCAGUACCUCCA
rnacentral:tRNA from 1 species